UACGGAGGGUGCGAGCGUUGUCCGGAAUCACUGGGCGUAAAGGGCGCGUAGGCGGCCUCCGCAAGUCAGUUGUGAAAUCUCCGAGCUUAACUCGGAAAGGUCAACUGAUACUGCGGGGCUAGAGUGCGGAAGGGGCAACUGGAAUUCUUGGUGUAGCGGUGAAAUGCGUAGAUAUCAAGAGGAACACCUGCGGCGAAGGCGGGUUGCUGGGCCGACACUGACGCUGAGGAGCGAAAGCGUGGGGAGCGAACAGG
rnacentral:rRNA from 1 species